AGUCGACGAUGAUCCAGCUUGCUGGGGGAUUAGUGGCGAACGGGUGAGUAACACGUGAGUAACCUGCCCUUGACUCUGGGAUAAGCCUGGGAAACUGGGUCUAAUACCGGAUACGACCAUCUGGCGCAUGUCAUGGUGGUGGAAAGCUUUUGUGGUUUUGGAUGGACUCGCGGCCUAUCAGCUUGUUGGUGGGGUAAUGGCCUACCAAGGCGACGACGGGUAGCCGGCCUGAGAGGGUGACCGGCCACACUGGGACUGAGACACGGCCCAGACUCCUACGGGAGGCAGCAGUGGGGAAUAUUGCACAAUGGGCGAAAGCCUGAUGCAGCGACGCCGCGUGAGGGAUGACGGCCUUCGGGUUGUAAACCUCUUUCAGUAGGGAAGAAGCGAAAGUGACGGUACCUGCAGAAGAAGCGCCGGCUAACUACGUGCCAGCAGCCGCGGUAAUACGUAGGGCGCAAGCGUUAUCCGGAAUUAUUGGGCGUAAAGAGCUCGUAGGCGGUUUGUCGCGUCUGCUGUGAAAGACCGGGGCUCAACUCCGGUUCUGCAGUGGGUACGGGCAGACUAGAGUGCAGUAGGGGAGACUGGAAUUCCUGGUGUAGCGGUGAAAUGCGCAGAUAUCAGGAGGAACACCGAUGGCGAAGGCAGGUCUCUGGGCUGUAACUGACGCUGAGGAGCGAAAGCAUGGGGAGCGAACAGGAUUAGAUACCCUGGUAGUCCAUGCCGUAAACGUUGGGCACUAGGUGUGGGGGACAUUCCACGUUUUCCGCGCCGUAGCUAACGCAUUAAGUGCCCCGCCUGGGGAGUACGGCCGCAAGGCUAAAACUCAAAGGAAUUGACGGGGGCCCGCACAAGCGGCGGAGCAUGCGGAUUAAUUCGAUGCAACGCGAAGAACCUUACCAAGGCUUGACAUGAACCGGAAAGACCUGGAAACAGGUGCCCCGCUUGCGGUCGGUUUACAGGUGGUGCAUGGUUGUCGUCAGCUCGUGUCGUGAGAUGUUGGGUUAAGUCCCGCAACGAGCGCAACCCUCGUUCUAUGUUGCCAGCGCGUUAUGGCCGGGGACUCAUAAGGAGACUGCCNGGGGUCAACUCCGAAGGAAGGUGGGGGACGACGUCAAAUCAUCA
rnacentral:rRNA from 1 species